CGAUGCUCGAGGUUGAUACAAACAAAGAUGGGAAGAUCGAUGAAGAAGAGUGGAAAGAGCUCAUCGCUAAGAAUCCUUCAAUCCUCAAGAACAUGACUCUACCUUACCUCAAGGAAGUGACUUUAGCAUUUCCAAGCUUUGUACUCGACUCCGAGGUAGAAGACUAGAGAGAAUCGGAUACCUUCAGAUCAACAAGUCUAUAAACUGGUUUUACAAAUUUAUAUUAUCAUGCAAUGCAUGUUUCACGUUCGUUUUAGUUAUUACUGUUGAUAUCGAUUCAAUUCGAAGGGAAUUUUAAAUCUGGGUUACCUAAACCGUUAUGAAAUUAAACCGAUUGUUUUGU